GCCAGUGUGGUGGAGUGGUUUAAGUGUUGGACUAUGACUCUGGAAACCAAGGUUGAAUUCCUGGCUCAGCCA